AGAAUCAACGCUGGCGGCGUGCCUAACACAUGCAAGUCGAACGAGAAAGUGGAGCAAUCCAUGAGUAAAGUGGCGCACGGGUGAGUAACACGUGACUAACCUACCCUUGAGUGGGGGAUAACCUAGGGAACCUGGGCUAAUACCGCAUAAUACCUUCGGGUCAAAGGAGCAAUUCGCUUAAGCGAGGGGGUCGCGGCCGAUUAGUUAGUUGGCGGGGUAAUGGCCCACCAAGACGAUGAUCGGUAUCCGGCCUGAGAGGGCGCACGGACACACUGGAACUGAAACACGGUCCAGACUCCUACGGGAGGCAGCAGUGGGGAAUUUUGCGCAAUGGGGGAAACCCUGACGCAGCAACGCCGCGUGGAGGAUGAAGUCCCUUGGGACGUAAACUCCUUUCGAUCGGGACGAUUAUGACGGUACCGGAAGAAGAAGCCCGGCUAACUUCGUGCCAGCAGCCGC
rnacentral:rRNA from 1 species